UACAGAGGUCUCAAGCGUUGUUCGGAUUCAUUGGGCGUAAAGGGUGCGUAGGUGGCGGGGUAAGUCAGGUGUGAAAUCUCGAGGCUCAACCUCGAAACUGCACUUGAUACUGCCUUGCUCGAGUACUGGAGAGGAGAUUGGAAUUUACGGUGUAGCAGUGAAAAUGCGUAGAUAUCGUAAGGAAGACCAGUGGCGAAGGCGAAUCUCUGGACAGUUACUGACACUGAGGCACGAAGGC
rnacentral:rRNA from 1 species